GCUACAGUAGGCAUUAGCAACUUUGAUUCUUGUAAAAACCACGUGGGAAAUGAAUAACUAGAGGCCAUUUCAUUGUUACAUCGUGGGAAAUUUUUAACUUAACAUGUCAUGUGCCAAUUUAAUGGCCAUUAAUGGUAAUAAGUCCAACCUGUCCGAAACUGAAGUUGGGUUGGUUUCAUAACGUAGCCAACUAUCCUGCAAUUGCAGUAUUAGUUGCCAGUAAACACAGAUGCUUGUGCUGAGAAAAGGAUGCUAGUAAGUUGAGCUUUCACUGAGGGGCCUGCAGCUGGUACAUUUCACUGGUAUUUAUUAUAUCUUUUAAGCUUUUAUUAUCCUAAAUACAAGUUGCUGAGAUCUCCGUGACCAAUAUGUUAAGGUUUAUGGUUUAAGGUUUAAAGUUGAUAUGAAUGGAGACAGAAGCCACGGAAGAAUGAAAUGGCAUCUGGGUUGACAAUGCUGCCAACUGCAAUGAUGAAGAAGAAGAAGAAAUGGGACAGUAAUGGGAUCUAAGCUCAGCUGGAGGCAGUUUUUAUGCAAAGAAGACCCACAACCUGACUUAUUGGAAGACACUGCCCCUUUGAAUGGUCCCUCAACAACCCAAUUAUUUGAAGAUUGGGAUGUCCUUUUAGAGUAUUAUGGAUCAGCAUUCUGGAUGCUUCCACUAUUAUAUUGUUGAACCUGAGCUGUCACCCUGCCUGACUGGAAUAUAUUGACAGAUAUAUACCUUGCUUGACUGGCCAAAAUUAAGGACAGUUGAUGAAAUGGAAAACACUGAGAUAAGAUUUCAGAACACUGCUCCUGAAUUGUUGCCUUUUUGUUCAUUAAGAAAAAAUCUUAAGCACUUGAUAAUAUUUUAUUAAAUUAAUUAAAUUUGGUAUCAUCAAAACUCAAUACGGUUAUGUGAUCUCUUGAAUUUGAUUGCAGGAAUAAUUCAAAUAUUGGUGUGGCGCUGGUGUAGCCAUAAUUUAUUGUCCAAGGCAUUGGUAGAAGAAGCUAUGAUUACUCAAUAGAAGAAGAGUCCUGCACUAAACUAAAUAAUAUUUAUAAGAAUUCCAACCAAAUCAAUUCUUUCAACUUUUUCAUAACUAUCCUUUAAUUCUCCAUUCAUUAUUGGUUUCCAAAAAUUUAAGCAAUUGGUUUCCUCAGAAAAUGUUCGAGGGUUAUCAAUUAAGUGAUCUGAUUUUACGAGGUCUUUAACCUUAUGACCAACAGUUGGUUUCAUGGUGAAGAUGAUUAAGAGGUGAUGCGGAAAGGGAACCUUGAAGAGAUGAUUUCGAUGAAAAGUGAAAAUAAUGAGACAAUGCCAAUGGUGUGGAAUGUGGAUUGAGUUAUAAAGGGGGUUAAGAGAAAAUUGCAUCUGUCGAGAAUGGAUUCAUAUUCAACCUCAAGCAACCGGAUUAAGGGUGGAUAUGAACCGAACUGAGUAUAAACACUUUUUGAUUCGAGUUCGAUUCGAAUAAAAAAUAGUUUAACUCGAAUUUAUUAUUCAAA